GCUCUGUACUCUUCAUAUCUGCUAUUGGAAUAACUGGAACACCAGAUGGUUGUGGAUCUGUUGAUAUUUGAGGCAAUGGAACAGUAACCACAGUUGGAUUUAAUGGAACAGUAGUACCUACCAUCGGUACAGUAGUAACAGCAUUUUGGAGUACUGUAUUACUCGCAUAGAUUGGGACUAAUUCCUUUCUUGGGCGACCUCUCCUCUUUGCCAUAACUACUUCUGCUAGGUUUACUUACCUUAGCAGAUGCAAUGGAGAAGAAGAAGAUGAUGAACAGUGUAGAAGAUGAAGAGAAAAGUAGAGAGAAGACGGAGCUUC
rnacentral:lncRNA from 1 species